rnacentral:lncRNA from 1 species
AAAUAUCUAUCAAAGUUAUUAGUACUGUUAUGUGUCUAGUUAAUGAAUGUGAUGACGGGAUUAAAAUUAUGCUCUGAAAGGGUAAAAUAAUCCUUUCCUUCUUGGACUGCCAUUCUCAGUAUGCACUGUCAGCUUUAGAUAAUCACUUCACAUAAAGAAGCUAGAGACUUUACAUCAUGUGUCAGUUCUUAUGUUUUGUACACUUUUGUGCUGAAUAAUUAGGCUAUUUUAUCAGAUAAAAUAAUUUUGUAUUGUUUAUUGGUUUCAUAGAUUCACACUAUUAUUAUUUUUUUAAAUCCCAGCUCAAAUUCUAAAGAACUCUUUGAAAGAAAAAAAGAUGAUAUUCCUAUUGUACAUAUAGUAUUCACACAUAAAACCAGAGAAAUUCCAAUCCUAAUCCUUUUUUCCAUAUAAACUCAUACUUCUUUUCCAUAAUAUUUACUCGAUUAAAAAUGAUAUGUGGGUUUGUAUUAUAAAAACUCAGUUUGAUUAUAUGCUGGGUAAAAAUUACUAAUCUUGGGUUUUAGCUUUAUAUCCAGAUAUUUAGAUCAUGUUGAUACAGACUAUCAUAAAAAUGUUAUAUGUAUUUAAAACACUAUUCUAAAAUUUAUAUUUUAUACUAAUUUUGAAAUUCUAAAAGUGGAUUACAUUAUACAGGUACAUCUACAACU